AGUGAACGCUGGCGGUAGGCCUAACACAUGCAAGUCGAACGGCAGCACAGUAAGAGCUUGCUCUUACGGGUGGCGAGUGGCGGACGGGUGAGGAAUACAUCGGAAUCUACUUUUUCGUGGGGGAUAACGUAGGGAAACUUACGCUAAUACCGCAUACGACCUACGGGUGAAAGCAGGGGAUCUUCGGACCUUGCGCGAUUGAAUGAGCCGAUGUCGGAUUAGCUAGUUGGCGGGGUAAAGGCCCACCAAGGCGACGAUCCGUAGCUGGUCUGAGAGGAUGAUCAGCCACACUGGAACUGAGACACGGUCCAGACUCCUACGGGAGGCAGCAGUGGGGAAUAUUGGACAAUGGGCGCAAGCCUGAUCCAGCCAUACCGCGUGGGUGAAGAAGGCCUUCGGGUUGUAAAGCCCUUUUGUUGGGAAAGAAAAGCAGCAGGUUAAUACCCCGCUGUUCUGACGGUACCCAAAGAAUAAGCGCCGGCUAACUUCG
rnacentral:rRNA from 1 species